AGUCCUACGGGAGGCAGCAGUGGGGGAUAUUGCACAAUGGGGGAAACCCUGAUGCAGCGACGCCGCGUGGGCGAAGAAGUAUUUCGGUAUGUAAAGCCCUGUCAGCAGGGAAGAAAAUGACGGUACCUGAAGAAGAAGCCCCGGCUAACUACGCGCCAGCAGCCGCGGUAAUACGUAGGGGGCAAGCGUUAUCCGGAUUUACUGGGUGUAAAGGGGGCGCAGACGGCGAUGCAAGCCAGGAGUGAAAGCCCGGGGCCCAACCCCGGGACUGCUCUUGGAACUGCGUGGCUAGAGUGCAGGAGGGG
rnacentral:rRNA from 1 species